rnacentral:rRNA from 1 species
UACGUAGGGCGCAAGCGUUAUCCGGAAUUAUUGGGCGUAAAGGGCGCGUAGGCGGCCUUCUAAGUCGGACGUGAAAUCCCUCGGCUCAACCGAGGAACUGCGUCCGAUACUGAAAGGCUUGAAUCCGGGAGAGGGAUGUGGAAUUCCAGGUGUAGCGGUGAAAUGCGUAGAUAUCUGGAGGAACACCGGUGGCGAAGGCGGCAUUCUGGACCGACAUUGACGCUGAGGCGCGAAAGCCAGGGGAGCAAACGGG